rnacentral:rRNA from 1 species
GAUGAACGCUGGCGGCGCGCCUAAUACAUGCAAGUCGAGCGAAUGGAUUAAGAGCUUGCUCUUAUGAAGUUAGCGGCGGACGGGUGAGUAAUACGUGGGUAACCUGCCCAUAAGACUGGGAGAACUCCGGGAAACCGGGGCUAAUACCGGAUAACAUUUUGAACCGCAUGGUUAGAAAUUGAAAGGCGGCUUCGGCUGUCACUUAUGGAUGGACCCGCGUCGCAUUAGCUAGUUGGUGAGGUAACGGCUCACCAAGGCAACGAUGCGUAGCCGACCUGAGAGGGUGAUCGGCCACACUGGGACUGAGACACGGCCCAGACUCCUACGGGAGGCAGCAGUAGGGAAUCCUCCGCAACGGACGAAAGUCUGACGGAGCAACGCCGCGUGAGUGAUGAAGGCUUUCGGGUCGUAAAACUCUGUUGUUAGGGAAGAACAAGUGCUAGUUGAAUAAGCUGGCACCUUGACGGUACCUAACCAGAAAGCCACGGCUAACUACGUGCCAGCCGCCGCGGUAA